CAUGCAUGUCUUAGAAGUAUAAUAGGAGGCGAUCCAUAAAUCUGCGAACGGCUCCGUAUAUCUGUUAUCACCCACGGCCACUAAAAAGAUCUCGGAUACCCACGGUAAUUCUGAGGCUAAUACGUAUACGUAGCUUGGGCCUCCAGGACAGGGCGCCCUCCGCAAGGGGGGCGCCUGGGCUAGUCGCUUGUUGCCGGGGGGUCCCGCAAGGGGUCCGCUGUCAUGAUGGCAGGCUAGUGCACCACACUGCGGGGGCGAUAUGUCCCGUAGGGUGCGCCAAGGGAGCCAGCCCUAUUAACUAGGUGUCCGGGUAAGGCCCGGCCGCGGUGAUAACGGGUACAGAGGAUCAGGGUUCGGUCCUGGAGAGGAAGCCUGAGAGAUCGCUUCUACUUCUAAGGAAGGCAGCAGGCGCGCAACGUUCCCAAUGGGGAUACCCUGAGGACGUGAGGGGAUAUAGCAAUGCCCCGCCCAUAAAGCGGGGCAAUUGCAAUGGGGGUCCACUAAACCCUCCACCGAGUAACAAUUGGAG
rnacentral:rRNA from 1 species